rnacentral:rRNA from 1 species
UUAACCUUCGGGGGGACGCUUACCACUUUGUGGUUCAUGACUGGGGUGAAGUCGUAACAAGGUAGCGCUAGGGGAACCUGGCGCUGGAUCACCUCCUUAUACGAUGAU